AUUGAACGCUGGCGGCAUGCCUUACACAUGCAAGUCGAACGGCAGCACGGGUGCUUGCACCUGGUGGCGAGUGGCGAACGGGUGAGUAAUACAUCGGAACAUGUCCGGUAGUGGGGGAUAGCCCGGCGAAAGCCGGAUUAAUACCGCAUACGAUCUACGGAUGAAAGCGGGGGACCUUCGGGCCUCGCGCUAUGGGGUUGGCCGAUGGCUGAUUAGCUAGUUGGUGGGGUAAAGGCCUACCAAGGCGACGAUCAGUAGCUGGUCUGAGAGGACGACCAGCCACACUGGGACUGAGACACGGCCCAGACUCCUACGGGAGGCAGCAGUGGGGAAUUUUGGACAAUGGGCGAAAGCCUGAUCCAGCAAUGCCGCGUGUGUGAAGAAGGCCUUCGGGUUGUAAAGCACUUUUGUCCGGAAAGAAAUCCUUGGCCCUAAUACGGUCGGGGGAUGACGGUACCGGAAGAAUAAGCACCGGCUAACUACGUG
rnacentral:rRNA from 1 species